rnacentral:rRNA from 1 species
GAUGAACGCUAGCGGCAGGCCUAAUACAUGCAAGUCGAACGGUGUCUUCGGACAUAGUGGCGCACGGGUGCGUAACACGUAUGCAACCUACCUUACAUUGGGGGAUAGCCUUUCGAAAGGGAGAUUAAUACCGCAUAAGACAGUAGCUGGGCAUCCAGCAGCUGUUAAAGAUUUAUCGAUGUAAGAUGGGCAUGCGUCCACUUAGUUAGUUGGCGAGGUAAUGGCUCACCAAGACUUUGAUUGGUAGGGGAACUGAGAGGUCAAUCCCCCACACUGGCACUGGGAUACGGGCCAGACUCCUACGGGAGGCAGCAGUAGGGAAUAUUGGGCAAUGGACGCAAGUCUGACCCAGCCAUGCCGCGUGCAGGAUGAAGGCGUUAUGCGUUGUAAACUGCUUUUAUACAGGAAGAAACGACUCUUGCGAGAGGCAUUGACGGUACUGUAUGAAUAAGCACCGGCUAACUCCGUGCCAGCAGCCGCAGUAACAC